CUAGAAGACUAUGAUAAAUAUUUCACAAAAAAAAAUAAAGGAAUUUGGAAAAAAUUAUCUAAAUUUAACAUAACGAGAAGGAAUUUUAAAGAGAUUGAAUGAAUUUGAAAACGAUCACGGGAUCCUUACAGCUUGGGACAGGGGUUCUCUCCCUCAUGACAUUUUUUAUACUUUUUGUUUAUGGAAUCUAUCCACAAGAGUUGACAGUACUUUAUUUCCAAAUGACAUGUGGAGCUAUAAGUCUUGUGAAUACUCUUCUCGGUAUAGAAUCUUUAUUCUUAAUUUCUAGUGAUAAACGAGUAAUUCUAAGUGGAUUGAUAUUUAGUUUAACAACAUCUUUGAUUCUAAGCAUAUUGAUCAUUAUAACUAGUCGAAUGUUUGCACUUGUCUAUCUUGGAAACACUAUAAUGGAUUCAGAAACUGAUCUUUGGCAUGGUGGUGUUAUAUUUCUGUACAACCUGUGUAAUAUUUUCGGUACGUUCAUUGCUAUCGGUAUAAUUGUCACAAUUUGUUUCUUGUCAAUUUUACUUUACAAAAACUUAAAAUAAUAAUAAAUAAUGUACCUACUCUUGUG